AUCCUUUUGUAAUUCAUGAGCAUGAUACUUGGGUGUUCACGUGCAUGGGUGAGAUGUGUCACCCUCUGAACCAUGUGACGACGUUGACACAUUACCCUUCUGAUC
ensembl:snoRNA